AUUGAACGCUGGCGGCAUGCUUUACACAUGCAAGUCGAACGGUAACAGGGUGCUUGCACCGCUGACGAGUGGCGAACGGGUGAGUAAUGCGUCGGAACGUGCCGAGUAGUGGGGGAUAACGCAGCGAAAGUUGUGCUAAUACCGCAUACGUACUGAGGUAGAAAGUGGGGGACCUUCGGGCCUCACGCUAUUCGAGCGGCCGACGUCUGAUUAGCUAGUAGGUGAGGUAAAGGCUCACCUAGGCGACGAUCAGUGGCGGGUCUGUGAGGAUGGUCCGCCACACUGGGACUGAGACACUGCACAGACUCCUACGGGGGGGAGCAGUGGGGAAUUUUGGACAAUGGGCGAAAGCCUGAUCCAGCCAUGCCGCGUGUCUGAAGAAGGCCUUCGGGUUGUAAAGGACUUUUGUCAGGGAGGAAAUCCCUAGUGCUAAUAACACUGGGGGAUGACAGUACCUGAAGAAUAAGCACCGGCUAACUACGUGCCAGCCGCCGCAGUAA
rnacentral:rRNA from 1 species